GUACUUGCUUCGGCAGUACGUAUACUAAAAUUGGAACGAUACAGAGAAGAUUAGCAUGGCCCCUGCGCAAGGAUGACACGCAAAAUCGUGAAGCGUUCCACAUUUUU
rfam:Papilio machaon contig64458, whole genome shotgun sequence.